rnacentral:lncRNA from 1 species
CCCUCCCCGGCAUGGGCCUUCCGGGAGAACGGUGUGGACGGCGCGGUGGAUACGUCCUUCCCAGCUGGAACAUUUGUGAAACUGGAAUUUAAGCUCAGGCAGACAAGCGGCCGGCGGAAGGACUGGAAGAAACACGAGUGCGAAGUCCAUCCCAAGGGAAGGAAGUGGAAAUGCCUGGCCUGCGUCAAACUGGGCUCUGAGGAGAAGGUUUCGGGCCGGAUGGGCCACUGUCCUAUAGAGACUCAGGCUCGGCGGGACCCUGAGGAGCACCAGGAGACCCAGUGCAGCAGGGCGGAGCGGGAGGUGAGACCCCACAGCUACUACUUCCCUGCACGGUUCGCCUUCUUCAAGGCUCAGCCCCCAGCUA